AUUGAACGCUGGCGGCAGGCCUAACACAUGCAAGUCGAGCGAGCAGCAGACGGGGGCGUAAUGGCUGGGUAAGUGCCUGAUGGAGGGGGAUAACGACUGGAAACGGUAGCUAAUGCCAAAUCCCAUCGGAUGUGCCGAGAUGGGAUUAGCUAGUAGUUGGGGUAAGGGCUCACCUAGGCGACGCUCCCUAGCUGGUCUGAGAGGAUGACCAGCCACACUGGGACUGAGACACGGUCAAGACUCCUACGGGAGGCAGCAGUGGGGAAUAUUGCACAAUGGGCGCAAGCCUGAUGCAGCCAUGCCGCGUGUAUGAAGAAGGCCUUCGGGUUGUAAAGUACUUUCAGCGGGGAGGCGUUACCCGCAGAAGAAGCACCGGCUAACUCCGUGCCAGCAGCCGCGGUAAUUC
rnacentral:rRNA from 1 species